CCCUACGGGGCGCAGCAGGCGCGAAAACUUUGCAAUGCGGGAACCGUGACAAGGGAACUCUGAGUGCCCGUAAAAUCGGGCUGUCCAUUGGUUUAAAUAACCAGUGAAGAAAGGGCCGGGCAAGACCGGUGCCAGCCGCCGCGGUAAUACCGGCGGCUCGAGUGGUGGCCACUAUUACUGGGCUUAAAGCGUUCGUAGCUGGUUUGUUAAGUCUCUGGGGAAAUCUUCCGGCUUAACCGGAAGGCGUCUCAGGGAUACUGGCAGACUAGGGACCGGGAGAGGUGAGAGGUACUCCAGGGGUAGGAGUGAAAUCCUGUAAUCC
rnacentral:rRNA from 1 species